GGAGGGAUGGCCGAGUGGACGAAGGCGCCGGUCUUGAAAACCGGUAUAGAGCAAUCUAUCGUGGGUUCGAAUCCCACUCCCUCCGCCA
rnacentral:tRNA from 1 species